CCGUGCAACCGGGGCAUUAGCGGGGCCCUGUAGCCUGCAAUCCGCUACAGCAGGGGUGAUGCAGAUCCGAGGGCGCUUCCUGGUGGAGCUGCCCCCGAUAAGUGGCGUUGACGUUUGGGUCUUGCGCAACGGGAAUCUGUGAAUCGUGUCAGGAUGGGAACAUAGCAGCACUAAGCAGAAGCUCUCGUGUGUCGCAAGGGUGCCUGAGCCGAGUUAACUGUCGGGGUUACGUCUGUUGGGAACCGUUCGGAGUGAUGCGCACGG
rnacentral:SRP_RNA from 1 species